rnacentral:lncRNA from 1 species
GAAUGUUUGCAGAAUUUCCCUUUCAUGGCAUGAAAGAGGACUCUCCGAUAGAAAGUCACACAGGGAUAUUUUGAAAUGGCUGGGAAGGUACCAGCAUCAAGAGAAGAUGAAAAAGCAAAACGAAGUCCUGUUUGAAUAUUGUGACUGUUUUUAAAGACAGAUAAAAGGGAACAAUCCGGCCCAAGAUGGAAAUAAGUCUGGGAAGCUGCGAAGAGUGUGAUUUCCGAUCGCACCACCCACCGGCCUCCCGCUUCAAAGUUCUCCUGCCCAGUGUGAACCUCACUUCUGGCUUUUUCUACAAAAGUGGCCAUGAGCGCCCAAUGCACAGAAUGAAUUCGGCUACAAAGAGGCCUUUGAGAGCUCCCGAGGAAGUGCCCCACUGGGAAACCAGGUGGAUGGCAAACGUUCCCUUUUCAUUACAAAUGAGUUCAGGGACAGGGCCACCCUGAUGGGACUCUCAACUCCAUCCGAAAGCUAAGCCCCACCAGCCCACUCAUUUGAAAACCAAACAGGUUUCCUUCUGCCUCCCCAUUCCCUGUUCACAAACACGUUUACAAGUGCUUGAUAGGUGACCUUAUUUACUUAGUAACCUGUGGAUUCAUUUAUCUUGAAAUUAGUAGGUAAUGAAGUGGAAAACCUCAACAGCCCUCCCACUAAUUAACAUGAUAAUAAGAUUGUUUUGCUACAGAGGUACAAUUAGCAUGUAUGAGCCAAAGGGGAAGAAAGAUCAAUAAAAUGUCUGAAGGGUACUACUCCCAGGUCUCCAGAGAAGAACAAAGAAGGGAAACUACAGAUUUUAAGACCCAUCCGUGUAAACACAUCCAACUCUGAGACCGGACCCUACUGAAAUGAUUUGAUGCCUGCUGGAGAAGGAGGUGUGGAGAUAACUGAAAGGAAUUAAUUAUAAAGUACACAUUUUGGUGCAGUCGAUGGCCUUUGAAAAUAAAAGGGAAAAACUGGGCAUCUAUAGGUUUUUAAAAACCUGGCCAACAUCUACGUGCUUUGCAUUAAUUUUUAAAGGUAGAUUAUAAUUGCUUGAAAUUUACAUCUUUGGAGUGAAGAGGAGAACCCAUUCUUAUUUCUGGAAGGCAUUUCCAUGAUUUUCUGAAUUGUCCUGGAUUUAAUUAGCAGUAUUUGGGGCCAGUGAAUGGCAGAGUUCUGAAAGAAGGGCUAAGCAUUCCUGGGGAGAAGCUGGAAGUUGCUUCCUGAACAGUCAUCCUAACAGUCAUCCUACUAGACACUAAGUAGGGCUGGGGGCCCAUGUGUGUUGGUGGACACCAAGGAAUGCUUUGAGCGAAGGACCCUGGGGAAGAAGGAAAAGGGAAGGGCUGUGCACACGAGAUCUUCUUGCUUCCUCCUCUGCACACUGGUUUGGUGAAAGGCCAACGCGAGGCUCACUCUGAUGAUUAUCCACUACUUAGUGAGAAAAACCAACACUUCUAGAUUUUAAGUAGAUGCACAGACACCUGCACAAGCCCCUGGUUUUUUUCUGAUGUUUUUAGCCUCAUAACAGACCUUACCUUUGACUUACUGGGUUGUAAGAAUGUGGGAAUUCUUACAAUGAGAAACCAAGAGAGCCAUUCACAACCAUAUGUAAAAAGGAUUACCAAUCUUUUGGAACUUCGGCACACCAUUUUUUUCUCCAUUCCAUAGCAUUGUCACAUAACCGAAAACGCAUGCCCAUAUAGGGCACAUGCAAAUUCUAAAACCCAAGUGAAUUUACUUUAAAAUAAUUUUUAUUUCAGAAUAACUUGAGAAUUUUCCAAUAUCUCCAGAGAUCAUUGGAGGCACCCUAGGGGGUCAUAUAAUCUUGCCUAGGUAAAGCUGCCCUAGAAAAAAGAGUAUUUUAAUAACCAAAGUCGAUUCCUCUUAGGAAGAAUUCCCUUUGUGUUCUAUAACCUAGCUUUAAAUCCAAAGUCCUCAUCUUUGAACAAUCAGAGCAAUAUGAUGUAGCCCAGGAGAGUCAGAAGUUGAAUUCCAUUCAGAGAAAUGUGCAACUCGGAGACAUGAAACUGCACCGCAUUUGCACUGGCUAAGUCUUUCAGGGAUAAAACAAUAGUCCCCACUUGUUGGGUGCAACACAUAUCGUCUAGUUUUCUCAAUCCUCAAAGGUAAAUAUUAAUGCCUCCAUUUUACAGAUAGCAAAACUCAGGCUUAGAGAGCCCUGUAGCCAUCUCAAAGUCCAACAGCCAGUUGAAAGAGAGGUGGAAUUAAACGUAAAUUCUUUUGGUUCUAGCAAAAGCCCCUAUCAGUAUCUCACCGUCUUUCUUGGGAUGAUGAACUGUCUUGCUGGAAACCCCCUUAAGAGCCAGUUUUGAAAUUGUUUUGAAGUCCCCCUGACCUCUGUCUCCAGAAAGCAUUUAUUCUUUGGUGUACUUACUAUAUUGGCAACUUAUGUUAAUAAUUUUUAAAGCCAUGACCCACUGUGAGGUGCUAAACAUUUCUUCUGGCUAGAACUUCUCCGACAGCAUAUAUAAAGCUUCUCACAAGUUAACAGCAAGCUUCCUUCAUUUGGUUUUAAUGACUUUGUAAAAUAAAUACCCAAGAUUGUUACUAAAAAAUAAAAUAAAGUGUUUCAGUGGGAGAAUAUAGAAGAUAUAAAUUUAACUUAAUAUAAUUCCCUUACUCCUUGUCAAGGGUGAACAUGUGACGAGAAAUUUUUAGAAGGGCUCCGAUGAGCUGGUUGUAAUAAGUAGCCUUUUUGGCCUAGAUUUGUAUCUUCCUUGAGAAUAGUAGUAAUUUUCGAGUUUCUUUCCAGAUUUUUUUUCCUUGCAUAUCCACUGUACAAUUGGGAUCUUGUCUCAAGGUGUGAAGCUUUUGCAAAUUUAUAAAAUCAUGUCGUCUGCCUUGCGUUCUUGGGAAGUACCUGACAUGAACAAGACUGAAUCCCCAGACUGCUCACAAGAUCACAACUGCCUCUCUUGUCACCCGGCUCUGUGAGCGUGGGCCAGUUUGGCAUCAUUCUGCUGUUUGGACAGCCCUGUGGAGGCACAGGUCGCUGAGCAUUGUAUUUCAUCCACACAUUUUCUCAACAAUGUUGCCUUGCAGUUUGAAAGACAAGCAGGGUGGCCCAGGUAUCACAUUCCUCCAAGUCUCCCGGGCAGGACUGAGCUUUAAAUGUGUGGGGACCAGUAGCACAUGAGGAGCCUCCCAGGUCAAGGGAAGGCUUGGGAGGCUUGCCACCGUUGUCUACUGGGGAAGGAAAUCCAGGCCCAGUUAAAACCUGGGCUCCUGGGGAGCUGGCUGGGAGAGAGGGCAUGUGAAGGUUAGGAGCCGCUGGAACAGGUGUGAUGUUAGAGUCUCAAGUGAGAGGAUGGCCAUGGUUUUUCCUCAUCUUCGUGCUUAAAGUAGUAGUUUUAGAAGAGCUUCCAGGUGCUUCUGUGAGUCAGGGUUCUCAUGCACUCGUGCUAGUCACCCCGGUAGGUGACUUCAAGGCACUCUGUUCAUAGCCCCUGGUUGCACACUCACAGACAGAAAGUGAGGGACCCAUGGGAUGUGUAAGGAGAAGCACUCUGCCUACAAAACCAUUAGCAUCCUAAGACUGGUCACCAUGGGACAGUGACGACAUGACUUUUGGCUGUCAGUCAGUCCUUUUGAAAUGGAGCAUGCAGUUUCUUUCUCCCCUCCCUCCCCUCCCC